rnacentral:rRNA from 1 species
UCGGUACAAGAUGAUCAUGCGUCCCAUUAGCUAGUUGGUGUGGUAACGGCACACCAAGGCUACGAUGGGUAGGGGCCCUGAGAGGGGGAUCCCCCACACUGGUACUGAGACACGGACCAG